GUGGGGAAUAUUGCACAAUGGAGGAAACUCUGAUGCAGCGACGCCGCGUGAAGGAGGAAGUAUUUCGGUAUGUAAACUUCUAUCAGCAGGGAAGAAAGUGACGGUACCUGACUAAGAAGCCCCGGCUAACUACGUGCCAGCAGCCGCGGUAAUACGUAGGGGGCAAGCGUUAUCCGGAUUUACUGGGUGUAAAGGGAGCGUAGACGGUUUCGUAAGUCUGAUGUGAAAAUUUGGGGCUCAACCCCAAAACUGCAUUGGAAACUAUGGAACUGGAGUGUCGGAGAGGCAGGCGGAAUUCCUAGUGUAGCGGUGAAAUGCGUAGAUAUUAGGAGGAACACCAGUGGCGAAGGCGGCCUGCUGGACGAUAACUGACGUUGAGGCUCGAAAGCGUGGGGAGCAAACAGGAUUAGAAACCCUAGUAGUCC
rnacentral:rRNA from 1 species